GAAAUUGACGAGUUGAAGAUUUGAGGUUUCCUACUUGAAGUAGGAAAGCUAAGCCUAAAAGUUUCCAUUUUGGGUUGAUCUUUCCUAAACCGGAAUGGCCUUGCGUUUGAGCAACAUUAGAAGGUUCCGAAGCGUUGGAAGACACAAAGAAAGGUGUUAGAAUAUUUUCUCAUCCUUGCCGUGGGUUAGGGCUUAGUUUCUCUUGGUUUUGGGCUUUUUAGAAGCCCUAUCCACAUUCCCACUAUCCAGCCGCACCUUUCCCCUUCUAGAACACCUAUUUCCUUGCCUUGCAAGGCUUUCUAGAAGCCCUAACCCUAGCCCACUUAAUUGCCGCACCCUAGGCCCUUUUCUCACUAAAAUUCUGAUUGUUUAACCUAUUUUUCUGGUGGAUUUGGGUUUCUAGAAACCCUAAUCUGAUUUGCUAGGGUUUUUAAGUGCCUAUAUAUAUAUUUCCACACACCUUGCCGCAGGGAGCAUGCAUACACAAUUCAGAAAUUCAUCCAACCCUAUUUCCCCACCUUGCCGCAGCCACCAUCACCCUAAUAUCUCUUAGCCGCCACUUCUCCAUCACACCAGCCACUUCCCCCUCCUUGCCGCAGCCAUUCCUCUAAUCCAGCCACCACUCUACACCUCCAUACACCAUUCUACACCUCCAUACACUACCCAUACCUCUUGCCGCACCACCAUAGCAUCCUAACUCCCUUCCUAAACCAAAAUCACAUCCAAAAAAUCCCCUAAACCUUCUCUGCCGUAGCAAGGAGAAGAAGAAAAGAGGAGCUUGACGUGCAGAAAUUCAAAGUGGAAUUGUUGGGCGUUUUAGGUGUAAUCUUUCUUAUGUCUUCG
rnacentral:lncRNA from 1 species